rnacentral:rRNA from 1 species
UACGGAGGGUGCAAGCGUUGUCCGGAUUUAUUGGGUUUAAAGGGUGCGUAGGCGGCCCGUUAAGUCAGCGGUGAAAUCCCAGGGCUCAACCCCGGAACUGCCGUUGAUACUGGCGGGCUUGAGUUCGGUCGAGGCGGGCGGAACUGGUGGUGUAGCGGUGAAAUGCUUAGAUACCACCAAGAACCCCGAUUGCGUAGGCAGCUCGCUUGGCCGAAACUGACGCUGAGGCACGAAAGCGUGGGGAGCGAACAGG